rnacentral:lncRNA from 1 species
UUUUUUUUUUAAGUAUGCCAUUGAUAGUUACAACAGAAAUGUGGAAAGUAGCCAAGGUGUCUAAAUUUUCUUUUUGCCCCAAGGUGGGUGGAACUUCCCAAGACUGCUGUCCUGCCUGCACUUGCAAUGAUAUACCUUCUUUAUUUUUGCCCUUCUGAUAAAUGUUUUAUAUUUAGAAACCAGAAUUAUGAAUAUGCUGAUUACCCCUCAUCUAAGGCUGAUGAAUAUAUUCAGUACAACUUCCAGUAAGAUGGCAUUUUAUUCUUCAACUUUGUUAGACAGAUUUUUAGGUUGCUUUACUCAGUGAAGUCUUUGACAUUCUACCACCACCUUGUAAGCCAAGCCAUACACACAGAAUAGGUCAAAGGAUGAUUUCAUUGAAAACACUUAUUUAGAAUUAGGUCACAAUAAUUUCAGCAACAUCAAGCCAUCACUUUUGUUAGGCCGUUUAAUCCUGUAUGAGUUAUUGUUUAGUUAAAGGUUAUUAAUUACCACAUGCCAUUCAGUUAGUGGCAACGUGCCAAGAAAGCACUCAGAGACCUCCCCAUUCACCCAUCUGUCUGUUGCAUUCAGCUAGAGUCAACCAGAACAUUUGGCUGUAUGGUUGAAAACUUUAAAGAAUUUGUCUACCAAGCUUUUACAUUUUUCCAAUUAUCCUAUUAGUAAAAUACAGAUCUUUAACAUCAUUCUUAUUGUCUGGACAUACGAAGAGAGAAAUGAAGAAAAAAAGUGGUUGGGAAUUGUAUUGUUGUGUCAUCCCAUCUACCAGCAAUUCCUAAAAUAUUAUUAGAGAUUAGUAAUAAACUCCAGUCACAACUAUCCACACUUUUGGCAAUGUUUUCCAAAGUCACUGAUCUCUUUUGAAAGUUAUUUCAUUUUUCUUGCUUAUUCUGUUAUAAUCUCUUGUGUCCAUCACUCUUUCCUUUUCUUUUUCCCCAAAAUAUGUCUUUGCAAGACAUUACCACACAGUGCAAUAUAUUUUUCUCUGCUAACAAGUUAUCAAGGCCCAUUGGAAAUUAUAUUGUUAUAGCAUAUACAGUGCAAUAACCUAUUCAAAAAUACAAAGAGAAAAUCAAAGGAGAGCAAAUUUAUUUUCACUACACUUAUGCCAUUUGACACUUGUAAUUUUUUUAUGUGAUGAACUAGUGGUUUCAUAAGAAGAGCAGUCAGUGUGUAAUUCAUUUGUGGAUGCUGCUGUCUAGGAUUACGAAGGGAAAGCAGGAUGCUUCACCAAGUAACUCCACGGCUGAAGUGAUAAUGUCCUUCAGCCAGCUCUUGCACAGCACUGGGAGCCCAGUGAAAAGCAUUCACUGACUAAAUGAGCACAUAUUCCCCAAAGAAGCAAUUGUGGGAAUUUGACUUCAGGCUUGACAGACAGCACCGCUUCAAAUGUGACUUCAUUUUAUUUUUAAUCUCACUGUCCAACAAGAGGCCUGUAGAGCACUAUGCAGAGAUGGAUGGAUACUUGUGCAGAGGGGUUUCUGUAGCCCUUCUGUAGAAGAAUAAUUCCAGAUCUGAAACAAUAACAUUAGGAAAAGCCAUUAAAAAAAAAAAAAAAAAAAAAAAAAGCAAUAGAGUCUUUCAUGGUAUUGUGGGGAAAGUCAGCCAUUUUGGAAAAAGUCAGGCUCUUUCCUUAGUGUGAGAUAUAAGUGAGAUAUAAUGUUUUUCCCCUGAGGUGAUUGUGCUCACUAUAACCAAAGAGCUUUCUGAUGAAUUGUGUAGGUGCAAAUACAGUUUUUCUGGGGAUUUUAUCAUUUAGAAACAUUAUUACCAGAAAAUGUUGUAAGAUCUUAAGCAGAAGCUUUUAAAGCAAGAUGCUGUAGCACUAUGUAUUAUUAAAUAACUAUAGCAUGCAGAGAGAGACAUGUUAUGAGUGGUUACUUAGAAUUGUCCUUAAAGCUGUUCAAAUAAUUUUGGCGCAUAUUAAUAUCUUGUCUUUUUGAUGCAUACUUUGUUUUUAUUUCAGAUAUGAGCGUGUAUUUGUAAAUCAUGAGGAAUAUAUGUGAAAUGUAAGAUUGCAGCAAACAGAGGGAUUAAGCAACUUUUUAUAAUGCUUUGUACUUAAAUUAAGACUUUAAUUCUCUAUUUGCCGUGCAUCAAUAGUGCUUUAAGCCACUUUUCCUACUAAAAUUUUUAUUUUCACUACUUCAAUAUGCCAAAUGAGCAAUCAUGACAGAGUAACGGGUGGAGGAGGAGGGGGCAAGCAGAAUGAAGACUGGCACGUGGCUGUUGGCUUUGAUGCAGAGUGUAUGACGAUAAGUUUGUUCCAGGGUAGGAACCACUCUUCAAACUCUGAUAUUCUUGUGGCGCUAAGUUUUGCUGCACUACUAUUAGCAGAUUCUGGUGUGAUGCAGCAGACUGUGGACACUGCAGUAGUGCUGGUCACCGUUCUCUACCUGGGUAAAUUUGAAACUAUUCUGUACAAGUUCAACUUACUAUAACAGGAAUUUCAUUAUUUUCACAAGGAAUUACAGGACAGAGAUGAGAAAUUCUCAAUUAAGGAAUAGUCCUGCCUGUGUUUUCACUGUAGAUGCACGUACUAAAAGAGCCCCACGCCCCUGGGAAGGAACUGAACCUGAUGCUUGGGAUAUAUAACAACUUUCUGUGAGUUACUGACACUCAGGAUAUCAUUAAAUGUAACUGCAGACACCUUUGUUAUCUCACUCUUCUAAUGGAAUGGUUUUAGACUAGAGGAACGUAUUUUAUGACACCUUCCUGCCUCAUGAUACUCCCACACAGAAAACGCUACUGUUUCCUUUCAUCUUAUCUCUUCAUUCCUUGCUCUCUGUGGUUGUAAGGAAACUUUACAUUCAGCUUGGUGCACAUAUACCUGGCAGCACAGGAUAAGCUUGUGAGGAUACCAAAAGCUGCUGGAUACUGGAGAGGUACUUAAUAUUCUCCCUGUGGAGGGACAAGAAGAGCUAUGACACACACAUUUUUGCAGACAAGUGGAAGGAAUAGGGGAGGAGGUGCUGUCAAUCAACUGCCUUGAUUCCAGCAAUGAAAGGAAGAUAUAAAAUGGUUACUGAUGAGAAAUUUUUAAGAACACUUACUCUCUUCUACUUUCUGUAUCUACAACAAACACGUUUUCCUUCCAUGAAGUUAGAGACAUUGUUGUGACAUAGGUGCAUGCUGUGCUGCUAAGGUUCGCAUUUCUAGGUACUAGGUAGUUUUUUUGUGUCAUUGGACUAGCACGGCUCUAAGUCAAGAACUCCUUCCAAAGUGGUGUGGAGAUGCCUCAGCUCUGCAGACAUCUCGGUAGAAAAUGUACACAAAAGUGAAGCCUUGAACAACAGUUGUAUUUGCUGUUCAUGGCUUUCUUGGCUUUCCUCUCCAGCUCUUUCUGUUUGCCAAACAGGCUUUUCUCUGCAGAUUCACUGUGGGCUGCCGCCUUUCUCCGUUUGUUUCCCCUUCAAACUCUGAAGAGCAAUAGCUCUUCCUGCUUUUUCUGGACCCAUGUUUUCUGACUCAGUUAACUCUUUCUCCAUCUUUCACUGUCUACCUCUAGCUCUGCUGCAUUGAAAGGCAAAACCCAAAAUGCUUGAAGGGGUAAACUUAGAUCAUAUCUAUUCCAUCUGUGAUUAGCUAGCAUAAGAAUUAUGCUAUUUAAUGUCUGAGAAGCAUUACUGUGCAUUAUCAAAUGGUGCCUUUGUUUUCACCCCCAGAUGGAUGUAUAUUGUGUUAGAAAAAAUGAUCCUUGAAUAGUAAUUCUUUGUAUCGUAGGAGGGUUCAGAUGUAUAUGUGAUCCUGUUUGUGGAGAAAAGCAAACUGAGGGACAUGGUUUAGUGAGAACUAUUGGUGAUGGGUGGAUGGUUGGACUGGGUGAUCCUGUGGGUCUUUUCCAACCUUGGUGAUUCUAUGAUUCUAAGCUAUGGAGAGAGACUUUACUGUGGACUUUACUGAUGAGCAAGUACUGGUUUCUUAUUUUUCUGCUUGCAGUAUAGAAAAUUUAUUAAUGGUUCAAUCACAGUGAUAUUUGCAGUAUUAUUAACAGGAAGAUGAAAUAGAAAACGAUCUUUGCUUGACCAAAUACACAAAUUCCAUGCUUGUGUGUCUCUUCCACUGUUAUCUAUUGGGAAAUUCAACAGAUAUUUUGUUAUCAGGAUCAUGAAAUACUACAGAGCCUGCCCACCACAUCAAACUUGUGUGUUAUCAUAGUAAUGAGUAAGUGCUUAUUCUCACUGUCUAGUUUGUUGUUAAAAGGAUCAUUUUAUUUUCUCGUAAUCAUUAUAAGUGGAAACAAUGAGUCUUUGAAUCUGAACUGUUAAGUUUUCAUGGAUAUUUUAUAAGUCUAAUUUAAGCAACCAUCUCUUUUUGGAGUGUAGGGAUUCCUUAAUUAAAUAGUUAGGCUUGAGCUUAUGUUUUAUAUUUACUGUCAGAAACAGUAGCAAGCACUAUUAUAAGCAUGUAGAACUACUGAAGCUUAGUACUGGAAUGAGAUAAACGCACAAAAUUAAUUUUCUAUUGUAACUUAUCUUCCAUAUACUUCAGUGAGUUAAUCUGUGCCUGCAUACAGAUGAGUAGGUCAACUGAAGAGCAAUUUAUACCUUCUUCAAAGCAAUCAGAUCUUGUUGGAAGAGCUGACAGACAGCAGCUAUCAACCAUUCUACCCUUUAGAUGGGCAAUAAGACAAUGUUUGUUAAUGAGCUUACUAUAUUUGUUCUUUAUUGGUUGUUGCCGUCAGUCUGGAAGCAUAAAUACAGAUAACACAUGAUGCCAGACAUCAUUUAAGCAAGCAACCAAUAGCACUUAAAGUAGAGCGGAAGGAUUUAUUCACUCCCAGUUUGGUAUUUGACUUGAAAUCCCUUUGUGAAAUAUGUCUGUAUUCUCUCUGUGUGUGUGUAUAGAUAUAUGUGUACGUGUAUAUGUGUAUAUAUAUAUAUAUUAUUUUGUCUGUUGAAGAGGGACUGUGUUUCUAUAACGUAAUGAACUCACAGCACUGCUUAAAUAAUGUUCUGGCAGCAUUAUCUUUGGAGUAGAAAAACCUAGGGCGCAGUGUUGUGAUGGGUAUGGAUUUCACAGUUACGAGGAUUCUGAAGGCAAGAGCUUUCAUUUUUAUUCAGCUCUUAUACUUGGCGGCUUUUAAGCGUUAUGCCUAUUAACUUUUAUAGAUGUCAUACAUUUUUAUGUUAAUGGUGGUGCUUUGAGUAUAGUGAGAAUCUCAACUUCUGCUCAUCAAACUGGCGUACAAGCAAAAUUAUGAUGAUGAUGCUUCUUCAAAAUGGUUAAAAAGCUGUUUUUAUUGUUUAACGUCAAUUCAUUGCUUGUGAUUAUUGAUGUUAAAAAAGGAUUUGGGGAGUGGAAGUAGAGGACUUCACAGUUGCUUAGUAGAAGAAUUUCUACUGAAUUUUAUUUUUGUAGGUGUGGGCACUGGAUUUUUGAUUUUUCUGAGUCUUGUGUGAAUUUUCACAGUGAGGUAGAGGGAAACCACUUGUGUUUCAGUUGAGUUUGUUUUAAUCACUGGGUAAAUUAGUAUGUUUAUCUUUCCAAAGUCUCACACCGAAAGAGUAUAAAACCAAAUAUAAUUGUUUUAUUUCAUUCAUUAUAGCUGAAAGCAAGUGUGAUUCUUGCAAGGGAAAUACUACUCAUAGUGUAGGCUGAUAUAUGUCAGAAAUAAUUGACUGCCAAUCUGUACUAGAACUCUUCCAACAGCAUGAAGUAGCCAGUGAACCAUAUGAGGAAAGAAAAAUGAGUCCACCUCUGUUCUGCUGGAAGAGGACCUGGCACGAAGGAUAACACACUAGUAGAACUAGAAGGAUAAACUAGUAGAACAACACUAGUAGAAGGUUGCUUUUCAUAAGACAUUUGUGCUUCUUUAUUUGACUACAUUUACAGAAGUUUCUUCCACUGACCUACAAUAUUUCCCCUCUUAGCAGCUCUGUUUCUCCCAUUGUUGUUCUGUUAUACAAAGACUGGAUACCACGCUUUGUUUUUGAAUGAGUUUAUUGUUUGCUGGAUUUUUAUUUUCUUCUGAGAAAGAGAGGAGACACUUAUAAUUUUUUUGAUAUGGUUUCUUAACCCACAGCAAAAGAUGGUAAGGAAAAUAAAAAUAUCAGCAUUUUGUUCCUUUAUUCUGUGUGUUUAUUCCAUAUCUAGUAUAAUUACUAGAAUAAUGUCCUUAUUUGCAAACAGAUGUCUAUCAGAUUCGAGAAAGUACAGAGUAAAGUGCAGUUCAUUGCAAAAUUUGGCCAUAAAAAUAUUGUUGUAGUAUUUUAUUCCAGUUUAAUGUUUUGCAAAUAAAAAGUUGCACACAUUCAAGAAGACAAUAUUCACAUCAAAUUAAUUAUGGACCACUUCCUGUAUGGCUUUUUCAAUUUAACUCUGCAUAGAAGAAACAUAUGAAGUCCACAUCUGUCCUGUGCAUGACCUUGGCCAAAUUACUUAGACUCAAUUUCCUUGAAAUAUGGAAAGUAAAACAAUGUCAGUAGAAAUUGUUCAUUAGGUUUAAAAAUUAGUUGCCAAUUGUUGAUUGCAGUGAUGUUAGUCACCUGAAACUUAUUUUCUGGAAACAGUUACCUAACUUGUUAGUAGUCCUUAACACUGUGGUUUCAUUUUUUUUUAAAUAUGGCUGUGAAUCUGAACUAAAUUCAAAUUAAUCUUGAGAGGAAAUUCACCAGUAUUUAUAAUGUUUGCUUCUUCAUAAAUUAGGUAUAUUCUUUCCUUCUUGGGAGAAAUGCCAUAGACCUGGUGUGAAAAUUUUUAUUUUUUAUUUUUAAAAUUGUUUUCCUAUUUUCCACACAUGAAUGCAACAGUUGCUAUUUUUCCAUUUCCUUUUUCCGUUCACCUGCUUGGAUAUAUUUUAAUUUUCAAAUUGUAAUUUGCUGGCACUCCAUAUGUAAGAUGGGAAUAUUUUCCAUUAUUCAAAUUCUAAUAAAAUAUAGGAUAAGCAGCCAAACAGACUGCAUCCCAGUUAGAGAUAUCCUAUUUCAAGGUAAGUAACUUGGUUUAUUUGAGUUGUAUGCAAGUUUGGAAGUGCAGAUUUGUAUAGAUGAACUGCAUAACCCAAACACCAACCAAAAAAUCCACCUUAUAAAUACCAUUGAAGGUACGUAACUUUUCCUCUGUGAUUGAAGAAAAAAUAUGCCUGUAACUUAUUUAGCUAUUUAUACCCAUUUAACAUAAAUAUGUGGCUGUAAUUGUCCACUGAUUUGCACAUCUGUCUACACAAAAUUAAGAUGGUGAACAUUGUACUUAUUUACAUGAGAUUACUGAGAUAUACGAGGUAGUAAAUAAACAAAUAAAUCAAUGCUUCUCUAAAAAGUUUCAAAAUUAACCUUCAAGCUGUUAUUUGCAAAAUCUGAAUGGAAAGCAUUAGAAGAUUAAAAUAAUAGUAAUUUUCAAUCAACCUAGCAAAAGUUGUGAAGGACUUUACUCAGGUACUAAACAAGAGAAAAUCAACCCACCUCAGCCAAGACUGAAACAUCAAGAUAAGCAGCAGAGCUAGUGGAAAUUUUCAGGUUUAUCUGCCAAGUAGGAUUUAAUUUUUAUCUGAUGUCAUUUCUGUCUGCGACUUCCAAAAGGAGAACAAUGAUAUUGUUAUGAAUGUUGAUGGGUCAUGAAAAAGACAGCAUGAGCACUGCUCAGCCCAAUGACUAUGCCAAAAUAAUGCAAUAAAUUCAUUUUGCCUUUGGUAAUACAUUUAAUAAAAUUAUUAAGUGCAGUUAGAGCAAAAGAAAAACAGAGAUGAAAUAUAAAAAUGACAACAGGAAUGAAAACAAUGUUUAACAGACGUAGAAAUGAUCCUUUCCCAUAGGUAUGAGAGUGUUUCCCCAUACCUAUGUUUCCCCCAUGUUUUCCAUAAAGAUUCUCCUUUUAAUUUUUGGCAGUGUAUCCAAUCUGUAUGGUGUGAAUUAGUCAGUGAGUUUCUCUUAGUUCUAAACCAGAGCCAUGUAAUUUAUUCCUGGAAUUAGUGCAGAAAUACCACCCUCAGUUAGUACUAAUCUCUCUCCUUUGGGUUUUAAUGCAAAAAAACGUGAAAAUUUCAAGACAGUACUUUUAAAUUCAUUUUUUUCUUUUACAUCAUCUUCACAGCUCAUUAUUAUUGUUUCUUUCAUGGUGAUUCUCCCUAAGAAAUAUAAAUUACAAAGGAAGUUGCUUUAUUAUUAUAAACAGAAACAUCAGCAGAUUGUAACAACAUUAAGUAAAAUGUGUAAAACGUUUGCAUCGUGAUUCGCGUAAUUUGUUACACUGUAGAAUAUUUGUGAUAUAGCAAGUCAGCAUUAGAUAUUUGUUGAGCGUAGUGAUAAAGGCUCGGAUCCUGUAAGGUAUUUAAGUUCCAAAUUUCUCCUAGUGUUUUUUUAAUAAGUGGCAUUUGAAAAUAAACUACAUAACUUGUUAUGAAAUUAUUAUAUGUGAAUAAUAUCUACUGUAUAUUGAGUAGUCUUCUUGAUGUGAUAUCAUACAGACAGAUCAAGUAGCAAUAGGUCACAUAUCAUACAAAAAAAAAUCAAUGGAGAAUUUCACAAUUCAUUUUUUUUCCCUUGAGAUAACACAAAUAAGGGAUCUGGACAUCUCUUUUUGACUAGGUUAGUUAGUUUGGGAAAACAAGAAAGGUGUUAUAUAGAAAAAAGUUUAAUUUAGUGGAGUCUGUAAGAUGUGUUUCUAAUCAACUUACAAACAGUAAAAUAAAUUACUAAAUGGGAAAAGCAAAGGCUCAUUAAACCUAGUUAAGUAGUGAUUUUGCCUCCUUCCUUCUCACUCAAAAAAUCAGUUUCUUCAGAAGAAAAGAAGUAGAAACAGCAAUCUGGUAGGGGAGCCAGCAAGGUGUAAAGCACUAUCUUUGUCUUCUGUGUGUCUCAUAGAUUCUAAUUAGCUAUCCCAUUUGGCAGUCUGCAGGUAGACUUUAGAUUAGUUUGCUUUGCAACCAACAAAGCACCAAAGAGAAAGGCCAUUUGCCACCAAAUAAAUCAGUAAAGUGGCUUAUUUAUCUAUCUUUUCCAUUAGGCAGGCACACAGAAUAUGUUUCUAUGAUUAUAAAGAUGCAAGAUGCAAUAAUAUGUAUCUGACUUCCUGUCUAUCAUGCAUUUGGUUUGGAUUAUAUCCUUUAUCUGAAGCAACGUUCUGAUGUGGGCUGUCCUAAACAGCUGGGCAAACCAUCUUGUCCAGAAUCCACUCCCAUCAAGUUUAUCUCCAGAUUUUCAGCUUAGAAAACCAUUGGCACUGUUUUUUUGUUUGUUUGUUUGUUUUUGUUCUUUCUUCUUGUUGUUGUUUUGUGUGUGUGUGUGUUUUCUGCUCCUGCAAUUGUAUGUGCAGUGAAUUUGGUGUUGAUAUGUAUAUUUCUGCAAAGCUUUUCCUUCCAGCACCAUGCGGCAAGACAUUUCUUAAGUAAGGAGGAAAGAGUAUGUUCCAUGUAAGUCUGUACUUCUCCAAUAUCAGUGUUUUAUAUAUAGUGUAAUGAACAUGCUGGUUCAAAGACGCAGGUUAAGUCCAUGACUAUAACUUCAAAGGACAGGAAGGUACAACUUGAAGUUAGAGAGGAUCUACAAACUUUUGAAUCUGGCUGCUGACACAAAUGACUUCUGUUAGAAGCCCAAUGUUCCUUAGGCAUCUUUGUGCUGAAAUCCUAAGGUACCUUUAGUUUCUUGCAAAAGAAGCUUGACAGUCACAGUUAUCUUUGGAGAAAGUACUCUAAGCGUUCCUUUCAGUUAGCAAGAUUAGUUGGUAUUGAUUUAUGUUUUAACUGGUUCUAUAUUCUAGUGAUUGAAAACAUUUUCCAAAUCACUGGAAAUGUUUGAGUUUCAUUAGAGUGUUUAAUAUCAUGUUUAUCUCCCCAUAUACAGCUGUGAGUGAUUCCAGCGUUUGCAGUAUUCUCUCACACUGCCCAGCCAAGUGCGCAUCACAGCAUGCUCUGAAGCCCCAUUAGGUCUAUCACAAAUUGCCUAUAUGUUUGCUGGAGAUUUGUAAAUAACAUUAAUAUUUGGUACAAAGAGUGUGUUGUCAAGUGAAAACGGAUAUUUUUAUAUUUGCAGUUAUUGGGAAGCUCUCACAGGGUUUUAGACACAGUCAGAUGCAGCUCUGGUGCACACUGCAUUUCUCUUACUCUUCUGCCCAGACUGCAGUUUUAUGCACGUGUGUCUGUCCUUUCCAGAGUGCAGGUUCCUUUCCACUGCUCUCACACUGCAAACUAUAUCUUACCUCAGAACUCUGUAUCCGUUGCACUUCUUUAUGGGUGCAUGCUUCGAGUAACAGAAGUUGUUGCUUUUUUUUUUUUUUUUUUUGUCCUCCUGCUAAAAGUCCAUUACUCUGCUACACACAGAGCCCGUGAAUACUGAAGUCAGGGGCAGAUAUUGGUCCAGUAAACAGUGUGAAGCUCACAGAGCCCCUGAGAGCUGCCUUGUACUGAGUUAAUAUUCACAUCUUUUUUGCUCACUGAGGUCUGUGCCACCACAGCUAUCUGACUUUAUUAUUUUAAAACUAACUGUAGGUGGAUCUUAGAGGUUCAGCUUCCCACUUUCUACAUACCAGCAUAAAAGUAUAUGAACUGAUUAGAAAGCCUUAAACUAACUUCUUUGAUCAGAUAAAUUCAGAAUGAAGGGAUUAAAACUGAACCUCUGGAAAGACCUGCAGACCUGUCUAAUAAGUGCAGUAGUACUGGGAUACCUGUAAGUAGUUCUACAAUUAUGACUCAAGACAGAAUGCUAAGAUAAGGAAGCUAUGAGGAGGCAGAAGAAAUUCUUCUGGAUACCUUUCCAUAAAUUGUGCUAACAUAAAGGAUCUGUCCAUUACCAGAUUUAGAGCCUGGCAAAAAUUUCUCAUCCCAGAUCAGGUCAACAGGACACUUAAGUAAUCAUCUUGAGAUGGAAUAGCCUUUCCCUUCUUCAAAUGUAAGUUGUGCACCAAGCCAUCUCAUCAUCAAGCAGGUGAUAAUAGUAAUAUUUAUACAAAAGAAAAUAAGUAUUGUCCUCAUUCUUCCCAGUUUAGCAAACCUAUUUGUCUAUGGUGUCCAUUCAGAAAUUAUCUGCUCCUUUGCCAAAUACUGACUUCAUCUGUCAGCAACAGAACUGAACACAGAUGGAAAAAUGCUCAAGAACUGAAGGUCAAGGGAUGGUUACCCCAGUAUGCAUGCAUCUGGGUGUGUAUGCUGUGUAUGCUUUUGUGUGCCAGGUUGGCUCUUACUCCUUGAGAAGUUACUUUCAUUCAGUACUUGUUGCAUUUUCUCAUUCUUGUAUUAACAUAUUGCUUAGGAAAGUGUUUGUUACAUCUGGAUCACAACUGUAUUAUCAUUGAAGGGAAAAAGAUUGGUACAGUUCAUCUAAUUUUAAAGCAGAAAUGAAAGCAGCUAAUGCUAGACAGUCAAUUUAAUGUUGAUUUUCCAACUCCCUAAAUAUGCUAUUGCCGUAUCUAUUGUCCUAACUCAGCUUAUAUUAUUACUUAACAGAUGUGACAAAUCAACAUUAUCUUGUUAUUUACAUAUGUAUUUAUUCACUUUCUAGAUGACCUCACUAAAUCCAGUAGGUGAAAUGGGAGGGAUAUAAUCCACAUAUUAUGCCAUUAUGUUGACAUGAAUUGUAUCAACAAUUCAGCUUUCCAAACUGACUCCAUGGUUACAAGGUUGUGUCAGGGAGAUAGACAAGUCAGCUUUUGGAAUGUAGUUUGAAAAUUAUAAAUAUUUUAGCACAGUUGCUUGUUUGAUAUGGUGAGCCCAAUAAUUAAGAUGGGCUGUUCAAAGCUGGAAGCAGGCAUCUCCCUUUUUAUUGCAGUAUCUUCUUUGUACCUUUUGUUUCUUUUUUCAUCUAGGGACAAGUUGAGGCCAAUAGCUUGCACCUUGUAAGCAGGGUUGUUAUUUUAGAAACCAUCUCUUCCUGUACUUUGUAGCUAAUGGGUUAUUUCAGUAAACUUCUCUUAAAACAAUUUGUGAAGCUGAAUCAACGGAAAUAUUUCAUUUCAGUAUUAGUAAUUAUUUCUGGUGACAAAUUUAAGUAAAAAAAGAGGCUGGGAACAGGAUAUGAGAUUAUGGUAAAAGAGGUGAGUACUGUACUCUGUACUCUGUCCCCUUCCCAAAUCAAGGCCAGUCGAUUAAUACAGCCCUGUUGAAACCUUUUUGGACAAAUGUCAGCAAAUCAGGCUACCGGACUUGUUCUGCCUGUAGUCUAAAUGGGUAAUAACUCCCAAGUGCCUUGAAGCCAGACAGCUUUUCAAUCCCCAAUCUGAAUUACUGCUGCAAUUUUAACCUGGUUACAUGAAUAAAUCAUUCUAAAAAAAUAAAAGUAAGAAGAUAUUGAACAGCCCAAGUAUUUAUGGCCUCUGGUUACACUAGUGCUGGACACAGGGCAAGAAAACCAAUUUCCAGGGGUGGCCUACUUCAUACAUCACUAGUCAACUAUGCUAAAGUGCUGAUGGCAAGGAACACCUAACUAUGCAUGAUUAGACCAUGGUGGCAGCACAUAUUUUUUUCUUUCAUGUUCCUUCACUUGAAAUUUAGAGGACGUAUCACUCUUUAGUUUAAAAGAUCAGAGGUCAAGAAGUUUCAAUCUCAUCUUUCUUCCAUUUGAACCUUCAUCUCAUUUUUCUCCCCAAAACAAUGUUUACAUCCAUUGUUAGAUGCUGUGGUGAGAGAUGCUAAAACAUGUUUUGUUUUGUUUUGUUUUUUUUUCCGCCUGUCAGCCAUCUGUCUCAACAAGCCAAAUACAAACUAUAAACUAGAUUUGAAAUAUAGCUAAAUAAGGUGAGGUCAUUGCACGCAUAGCCCUCCUUUCUCUGUUGGAUUUGAGGCAGUUUAGGAUUACAGGUAUCAACUCUGGUGUUUGCAUUAUCUUGUAUGGAUUUGAUGAUGGCACAGACCAGGAACUCUGUGAGACAUGAGAACCAAUUAAAAAGUGCAAAGAUGAGAUAAGGCUUUAUGACUUAGACCACCAGCUAUGAAACUGAAUCAGUGUUACAAUCUGACACUAAUGGCAUCCUCCUGGGCCAUAUCCUACUGGGAAGUUGCAUCAUGUGACUUUAAGCAGAUGAAGUAUGAUCCUCACAGACAGAAGUUUUGCCAAGACUUGUGAUAGAGUCUUCAAUCAUGGUGACUGUGUAUUGACCUGUGGGUAAGAAUUUUGAAGUACCUUAAAUGAAGCAAUUAGGACAGUUUGAUAAUCAGCCACCAAGUAACCUUGAACAAGAGUUUCCUAAUUCUAGUAUUCAAUCUUUGCAGCUUUGUUAUACAAUGAAUCAGUAGAAUUGUUAAAUAUAUUUACAAAUAGUUCCUAUCAGAAAGGACCAGAUGCAAUGCACUGCAAGUUUGUACUAUCUCUAAAAUUGUGAAGAAAGGAUAUAAAAUACUUUUAAACCUGGUAGCAGUCCCCUUGAACAAGUUCUAAUGAAUGCAGAAACUGCAUUGAGGUAAUGAGUAAGAAGGUCUGCUAGUCUUUAUUCUGAUUUAUUUGAGGUGGUGGAUAUUAAUGGAGAAGGUGAUUCUGCGUUAUCUCAGCCUUGUCUGGGCUUGCUGGGACUUAAAUUAUGACAUUUAAUAAAGAAGUGAGGCUGCAUGAUCUAAUAGCUUUCUACCGCCCUUUUCUUCCAGCCACAUGUUUUUUUUUUUUUUGCCUCCCUGUAUGAGAUCUACUAGUCACUCAUUCACUUGGCAAGCCAAUUCAGCUCAUAAAUUUAGGAGGAAAAAUGUCCAUUUAAAAAAAAAAAAAAAAAGUCUUUUCAGCCUAAAUGAAUGUGAGUAGGAAGCCAAGAGAACAGAUUCGAUAACUGACCACCUACACUGUACUGGUGCAGCCUCACCUUGAGCAUGGUGUGCAGUUUUGAACAGUACAGUACAAGGACAUAAAAAUAUCACAGAGCUUCCAAAGGAGAGCUACAAAGAUGGUAAAGGGUAUAGAGGGCAAGGCAUAUGAGGAGUAGCUGAGAUCCCUUGUUUCAUUCAGCCCAGAGAAAAGGAGGCUGAGGGAAGCCUUAUGGUGGUCUACAGCUCUUCACUGGGGGAGCAGAGGGGCAAUGCUGAGCUCUGCUGUUUGGUGACGGUAACAGGAUCUGAGGGAAUGGCAUAGAGCUGCAUCAAGGGAAGGUCAGUUUGGGUGUUAGGAAAAGGUUCUUCUCCAGAGGGUGGUGGGCAUGGAACAGGCUCCCCAGGGCAAGAGGAGCUGCCUGAGUUCAAGGAUCAUUUGGACAGUGCUCUCAGAUAUUGGGUUUGAAUUUUGAGUGGUCCUAUAUGAAGGCAGGAGUUGGACUCUAUCUUUAUGAGUCCCUCCUAAUUUAGGAUAUUUUAUGAUUCAGUGAACUUCCAGCUAUCAAAGAACAGUUUGUUGGAUGACUUUUCUUGUGAAACUUCAAAUGCAGAGCAUUUUUUGGGUAUUUCAACUGGAGUACUGCCUGACUAGGUUACUCAGCAGAGGACUUCUUCCUGCCAUUGUAGUGUGGUCCAGGCUUACAUAAAAACAUUUAAUAGCUCUUAUUUAGCUUUUAAAAAGAAAAUCUUUACUUUAUGGUGAGAGCUACAAAGGUCUGGAUGUGGUUGCAAUCCCAAGAAGUAUUUUUUUUUUGACACAGGGAGUCAUGUUCACUAGUUCAGUUGGAACGAAUUCCAUAUUUCAUGGAAAAUAAACUUAAAAGAGCUUUUCCUCAUGUGUACUUAGAGAACAACAGUACUGUUGAUACUUAAAAUUGCCUUGGAUUUCAGUCUUCAUAUUUGAAAGACCUAACUUAUUCAACACGGACAAAGACAUUUUCUUUAACAGUAUAAUGGUGUACAACAAGAUGUAUUGUAGAGUUUUUACUUGUCUCUGCAGUAUUUGUUAAAGGUCUGGUGAAGACAUAAAUUAUCAUCAUCCAUCUAGCACAGCCUCCUUUCUUCUGUCCUUUGUAGUCAUAAAGACAGAAAAAACACAAGGAGCCUUUAAUACACAAGGACUCUUUUUAUGUCCAAUAACAUUUAUAGUUCUGGAUGCUAAGAGAAAAUAAGUAAAAUGUAUGUUUCAGGAUAAAUAAUAAAUACUAAAAGAAAAGAAAAAAGCAAACAAAACAACUGCAAAGCUACAAAUCUCUGAACCGAUUGGGUAGAUGCUUUGUGGUCGGUCUUCCUGAAGUCUCUGUCACUGGUUUCCUGAGUUGAUAGACCAAUAGCUUGAUGCAGUCUGGCAAACUGUGUUUUUAAAGACUUGAACAAUGCAUUUGCUGCGUACUUUUUAAGAUUCACUUAAGGAAAAGAACUAUUUGAAUGCAUUUUUUGUGUAACAGUGAAUUAUUCAUUUUAGCAAAUCCCCUUUUCUCUUUGUGACAGUCAACUUUUUUUUUUUUUUUCUUACAAGCAAGUAGCUAAUUUUUUCUUCUCCCCUCACCUUUUUCCAAUUACUAUUAUUGGAAGUCUAACAGGCAUUUUGUUGCUUUAUUACUGCCCUCUGAGACCCAGAGUUGUGUAAUGAAGGACAAGGUCAUGCCACUAAUGUAUUAAUUCCAUUUCAAUUUGCUAGUAUUUGUACAAACUAUAGGCAUUAUCUGAAACUUGAUAAUGUUUCAGAAAAAAAAAAAAAAAAGGGAACAGAAAACAUUUUGUACCAAGCAGAAGAUGAGUAAACAUUUAUGUUCUCAGUAUUUCCAUAUGUAAAGCAGAACAAGUAAUUCAGAUAUUUGUAGGGAUAAAUGAACUUUGCUGACCUUCUGACAAACUGUAUCAAAUCUUCCUUAUUCACUAGUUUUAGCAUGUGACUUCACUAGCAUAUUAGUGUGUUUCUAAUGACAGUAAUGAUGUGUGAAGAAUGCAACUUUAAAUUGCUAUACUUAAUUAUAGCUAUUUUCCCUCUCUGCUCCCCUGCAAAAUUGUUUCCUUUUUUAUUUAAUGGCCAGUGAUCAAAUGAUUUAAUGAAAUGAUCUGUGGAGAGAUUCUAUGAGAGCAGAUUUGACACCUCUGAUAAUUCAAGAGGUUUUGGCUCAUUUCUUAGGAUAAAUAGCUUCAAAGAGUCUCCAUUGCUUAAUAUUAACUUCUGCCUAUGUUUUAAUUUUUGGAUAGUGAUUUUAAGGAAUUGCAUUCCUUGCUAUUUGAAGCUUUUUAAAAUUAUUCAAAUGAGGUAAUGAAAUUAUCUAUCAAGAUCCACGGUGGUCAAAAGCAAUCUCUUGUGCUAGACUUCAGCUACCUUCAGACUGUGCUAUAGAAUGUUACAUUAGUUGCUAGGUUUCAGGAAUUAUUAUUAUCUCCAUCCAGGAGACCUUAUUAAAAUCUAUGGGCCUUUUUAGCACCUGGAUUAGCUGCCAAUUCUCUAGGUAAUCUCUAGGUAUCUGGGGGGGUUGGGGGAAGUGUUGAUGUUUCUCUAAAUUCCUCUUGGUUAUCAUCGUCUUGGGUGUCAUUAAAUUGGAUAUAGAAAUUUGAGGUAAAAAUGUGCCAUUCUUCAUGCAAGUGAAUAUUUAUUUUGCCUGUAGGGCACAAUGUGAAACCUGAUGUCUUUUGCUCAGAGGGAUGUGAUGCCUAAUGACAACAGAAGGGGGUGUAUUUGUAAAUUCUUUUACCGUUUUAACUCCAGGCAGGGUUGAGAGGAGGUUUGGAGUAGGAAGGAGAGGCAUAUGAGAUGGCAAAGAAAUCCAAGUAGCUUAAAUGGGGGGGGGGGGGGGGGGGGGGAAUGGAUAUACUAACUUGAGCUCUUGUUGCCAUGCUAUGAUAGAAAUAAGUUUUGCAGGAAAAAGAAAGUUUAUGCUGAAGUUACUGUAGCAUACAACAACACAAGUCACAUAUGAGCUUGUGAACUAGAAGAAUCCUUCUCUGAUAAGUAUUUCAGCGCAGAGAUUGGCAAAAGAAAUGUAAGAUGCUCUCUUUAUCCUUUCCACUUCAUCAGUGAAACAACGUGAUGAAAUUUAAAUGAGAUUGUUUGUUAUGAUGGAGGCUCUACCUUUGUGCUAGCCCAUAGUGUAGAACAGGUCAGACACUCCAUUGUUAUUUGAAAAUCAGUGCUAAUAGAGUAACUUAAUUAAAAUUAAGUGAGUAUGAUUCUGUCUCUUACAUUUAAGAUUGAUGUAGUUUAUUUUCAGCUGCUUCUUUGCUUGAGGUUAAACUCGGCUUGCUUGAAGUCCUCUUUUCUUUCUUUAUUUAUUCUUUACUUCUCCUGAAAGUCCAUGAAAUGGUUCAAAGGUUUGGUGAAUUCAGGUUUGGGAAAGGCAUACUAAGUCAUCUCAGUCUGCUCUUCUGCUAGACCUCAUUAACAUUUAUUCAUUCCUUCAUUCUUCAGCAUGUCUGUUAAGUGAUAUCACAAUAAGAAUUGUGUUCAUGAAAGCAAAAAACAAUUAUACAUGGGCAGGACAAUGCGAAUUUGAGAAGUUACAUGCCUACAUGCCAUCUGAACAUAAAGCCUAGACUUUUUUCAUUCAGUGACAUAUGCAGCACUGCCUCAACUUUUUAUAUAGUAGCUGCAGACUGUGGCCUUAAAAAAGGUAACUGUAAAUUGAGGGAAGAUGAAAAGCAGUAUCAUGUUAUGUCUCCUGUAGAACAGUAAUUUCUUUAAAUACAUGUCUGGAUUUUGCACUGCCCUUAGAUAAAGCAUACAGCACAUGCAUUUUCUCAUGUUCGGUGUGCUAUUCAUUUGCUAUUUUUUAAAUGUACCAGAAAGUAGCAUUAAAAUGAACAAAUAUUUGUGGAUGGAGAAGGAAAAUGGGAAGGUAACAAAUACAGUCAUCUAUGUUCUUGUUGUUGAAAAUGGAAUAAAGUUUUCAUUCAUGCUAUCAUCCCUUUUUUCAUGGUAAUAUAUUUCAGGGAAAAUCAAAAUGCCUUUGUUCAUGUAGUUAUCACUACAACUCCGGAACAGUACCUCUACGUACCACAGAUUGUAUAACCUGACACAAAAUAUUAUCUAGUUUUACUGCAUAGUUGGUGCUUUCUGAAGUAGUAAACUAAAAAACAUAAAUGGCAAAAUCACAGUAGCCCACAGUGCAUCUCUUGCUUAUUCUUGUGCAAAGAACUUGUACCUUGAAGAGUUGUAAAGUAGAUUGCAGAAAAUUGUUUGGGUUGGAACUCAGGUUAAAUGCCUUCAAUUAUUAAAAAGCAUCCUGCUACAAUCAAAUGCACGCUGCCUCAGAGAAAAAAGAACUAAACAAAAAUAUUCUCAGAUGCAAAACAUACACGCUCUCUGUUUCUUCCCUACACAAUUUAGGUAAACAAAAAAGGAGUAUAAAAUGUGUGUGCACCUAUCUACUUUCUUGCUACUCCACUUAUUUUUGCUUAUUUCUAAUAUGAUUAUGAAUUUUUUGGCUAUGUGAUACUGAGGGAAUUGAGUGAGUUUCUCAUUUUUUAUAGAACUCAGUGCUUUUCUUUGUACCUCAUUUAUACAUGCUACGAACUACCUUAAUUUUCAGUGUGGUAUUUCCUUUGCUAAUAAGCAUACUUUGCUAACAUUUUGCAAGGUUGAAUUUGUGCGAAUACUUUUUUUUCUUAGACAAUUCUUGUAAGCUGCUAGACCUAUUCCUUAGUCUUUUUUUACUGAAAUACCAAUGAACCAUCAGCAUGGUAAGAGAAAGUUGUAGAGACUUCUCAUUAAUCUGGAAUACACCACUACUCCAAUUUUUUUUGUUAAUGGAAUUUUGACUUAGAUUGUCAUUUGAAUUCUGCGAGUUUUCCUCAAAUUAUUUUGUAGAGGCCAUGUGUGCAGUGAGCAUUUAGUGAAAAGCUGGCAGAAACUGUAGAGGAUCAGUACCAUCUUAACAUCUCACUCCAGAGUCUGAAGGAAUCUGUUCAUUAUUAUAAUCAAUUUCCUCAGCUCUAUUUAUAUAUGUUAUUGGCCAGUCUCUACUGCGGAGAAAAAAAAAAAAAAGUCUUUCAAUUCUGUAGUAAAAUAUCAGAGAAACUUCCAUUAGAGUUUUUAGAUGACUAUAACAGCCUUAAUUUUUGAAAAUUUUUGUGCUAUGGGGAUUCUACAAGCAUAACUGCAGGCCUCCUGGAUGGCUAGUAGAAGGUAAACAGCCAAAAACUUGUCAAAAACUGCCAUAAAUAUGUGUGGAAAAGGAAUGGAUUUGGCCAGCAUUUAGAUAAUACACUAACUCUUCUGAGGAGUUAUAAAAUAGAUUACGUAUUAAAGGUUGUUCCACAUCUGUGUAGGUAGGCUGCUCCAAAAGUAAUGCCUCCUAUUUAUUUCCAUGGGAACUACAACAAAGGGCACAAUAAUGCUAUUUGAUAGAGUAAGUUUUCAACUACAGAUUACUUUUUUUUUUUUUUUAACACAGUUAUCACCAUGAACUACGCAUUGUUGUCAGUUAUGAAUGGGAGCCUGCAUGCUGCACUCGUACAAAUCUGCAUCAGUGGAGGUGACUCAGAAUUUCACAGUUACUGUGAGCAUGGCUUGUCUUUCACAUCGCUGUAACCACUGCUGAAAUACACUACCCUCCACCUCUCUGUGCUUACAUACACUAUUUGGUCUCCAUGAAUGUUCAGCAACUGUCAAUGAAUGCAGUUUUUUUCCACAUGGAAUAAUUCAGUUGCACAGCUUUGCUUCAUACAUUCUUCUAUGCUAGGUGCCAUUUUGUCAGAGUGCCCCUCUGAUGCCAUCUGUCAAGUGGCAACAAAAUAGAAGGAAAUACUGGUAGAAAGGUUCAACUUCUACUGCCACAUCACCAAUGUCUACCUCUGAUAUUGUGGGGCAAAAUAACACAGGAAGAAACAUUACUUUCAGAGAACCCCUUGUAUGGAUCUCUAUUCUCUUGGAUAUAUCUCUGUUCCCUUGUUGUGGAAAAACCCUAUGGUUAUUUAGCAGAGAAAGCUCAUCUGUAUUUAUCAAACAACCAAUUUUUUUAUAGUAUAUUUAUCAAAUACAGGGAGGAUAAUUUUUAAGUCUCUAGAAUUUUCACUCUCUAUUAGUACAAACAAAUUUCUUGAGAACACCUUGCUAUAGAUGUGUAUAAACUUGAAUUUCAUCAAAGUGUUUGAAAAACUAAAUAAGUUUUUUUUAAUUAUGUAAAAUAAGCCAGCUAAAAUUUUGAGAGAGAUCAAGCAUUACCUGCGGGAAAGAUCCAGGGAGUACUGCUUAAUAAAUCAUCAAGGGGAGGAGCACUGAGCAGAGUAAUGCAGGUGUAUUGGAAAUUAAAGGAUACGUUAGCUCAUUUUUAGAAAGCUCGUUCUCCACUGAAUGUGUACAAUAAAUUUGUAAAAGCUUUACAGCUGGUCCUAUUUGCAACAGUCAUGAAUUAGAUGUCUUUCUGGAUGCAUUGUUGUAUCAGUGGGACAGAGGUUGCAAGCAUGAAUUUGUGUGUGGAUAAUGAAGCUUCUCAAUCUUCAGACAAAAGCUUAUGAGUCGAUGUUUUGCAUAAAUGUGACGAGGGUCUGAGUCAGCCUCAUCUAUUAGGUGGAUUUUCCUGGAUUUUCUAUAUAACUAGUGCCACCAAAGACAAAAUGUUUUUUUUAAAUCCAAAGAAGAGACUCCCCUUGUGUAUAAAUUAAUAUUUUAAAGCAGAAAAGUACCCUCAAAAUAGCCAAAGAAACUGAAACUGGAAGUUUACAAAUUUUAUUCUGUUAGACUUCUCAAUGCUUGCAGUCUUCCCAUUUCUUCCCUCGUACCACUGCAGGCUCCAAGCCUCCAGGCUUGUUUUCAUCCCUGCAAUUCUGUGGCUCAAGAGCAACAUGCACACACUCUGCUCUGGGCCUAAAGAUAAGGACUUUUAUCCACGUCUUUCAGUGGUUUCUGCUGUCCAGGCUCACUUCUCUGGUAAGCUCCCAUUCAGAGUCCUUCUGCUACCUCCCCUUUUUUCACUCACCUUUAGUCUCUGCCCCAAGGAAAUACUUCUUGUCCUCAGAAACUUCAUCAUAACCCAAUGUGCAGCAGCAGGACAAAGCAAGUAACAGGUUGCCCCCUAAUGUGCACUCAUGUUGUGUAAUAUUAGUUGCACCUCACAUAACAUACACCAUACAGUAAAUUAUGAAUUAAAAAUGAAAUAAGCGUUUCAUCACAGUAGAACACUGCACAUUUGCAGGAGAAUGUGAAUACAUUAUAAAAUCAUCAGAUGUUUACAAAUACUGAAUUUUCUAUGAGGACAGAAUAAGAUACAGACAAUAAAAAUGCUAACAGCCUAUUCAUAGUGGUAACUAUGAUCAAUGGCAAAGCUUUCCCUCUUUUCAUUAUAGCUGUAUUUGCUAUCGAUAGUUUUACUUUAAAAAGACCCCGAGGAAUAAAAACAAUAUUCAAAUUUGCAUUGAAGAGGAUAACACAGUAGAUACAUAAGAGAAAAUAUCAAUAAGGCAGAAAUGUAUUUAGCAUUAUAAUGCUUGGUCUUGUUAACCUCAGACUUGAGACACUAUGUCUUUCUCUACCUAAUAAAACUGCCUGCUCUAUUAACAAGUAGAAAAACACGACCAUGUGUGAGAGGAAAUCAAGUCAAUGCAGGUAGCAAAAAUAUUUUGCUAGGAAAAAAAGAAAAAAAAAACAGCAGUGCAAAAUAAAAUCUGAGAUUCAGGAUAAAAGACUGAAAGAUGACCUCAUUUUUUUUCCCUUACACACAUUAGUAUUAUAUACUGUGAAAAUAUGAAAUAUAUCUCCUUUUGUUCUACUCUUAGGGAAGACCUGUAAUUGUAGUUUAUAUCUACAGCUGGAGGCGCUACAUGUUUGGGAUGGGUAUGUGAUGUUUUCUUUUUUCAUGGCGCACAGUAGUUUGCCAUUUAAUGCUUAAUCUUUUACUUGCAACUAGCAAAGAAUGGUUUUUAAGGGAUUGUGUCUUCCCUCCAUAUUCUUGAUUAAAUAUGCAAACAAGAAUAUUCUCUCUUCCUUCUGUGGUAUUUGUCUGCUUUAAUUUUCAUAUCAGAUGUAUUUUUUUUUCAAUGCUUAUAGAUUUUCUUGCUAGUCUUAAGUAUAUUUUGACGUCUCAGAACUGACUUUUGAGGGCUCAAACGUACUUGUAAAAAACAGGAAUUGGAUAUCAAACUAAUUUAGCAAUAUUAAAAGAAACCAAAGAGAAUUACUUAAAUAGAACAACAUGACAGUCCCGCAGGGUGAACUGCUGGCAGUGACAGUGGCAGGUCUUUAGGAAAAUUACUAGAACUGGCAUUCUAGCAGUGCCUACUUGGUUUGUCCUCUCACCUUCCUGCUACUACUGCAUUUUCAUGUUUAGUAGGCCUGGGUGGGCUUCCAUGAAAUUGGCUAGUCUGUUUUUGAACAUGCACAGGCUUGCACUGUGGCAAGGACUAGCUUGUAAAAACAAAACAAGAAGGAAAACAAACGAAACCAAAACAACAAAAAAAGUCAGUGAAUCUCUGGCCCUGGAUAGACAGAACUGGUUUGUUUGUUUGUUUGUUUGUCUUCAUUUUUCCUUAUUUUUUCUGUGAGUUACAUCUAAAAUACAGUUAUGAAAGUGGCAUGUUAGCGAUACUGUAGAUACCUGUGCUCAGUUUCACUUAAUUAAAUGCUUUUCUAGGAUGCUGUCUAACGUUAAGGGAAGUGUAGUUCAUGAAAGUAAUCUUUUUUCAUGUAUUGUGAUAAUCUUUAAUUUAGUCUGUUACAAGUUUACAUACUUUUAAUGUUCAUCUGCAGGGUUUAGUUUGAUCAUUUAAUCAUCUUUCACUAGCAUAAGAAGGGCCAUUCAUCUUCAAUCUACUUUAUUAAAACAAUGACAAAAUGGGCCUUCUUAUAUGGAAAGCGCUGGCAAUCAGAUCCAAUAAGAGAAGCACAGAGAAGAACAAAUAGCCAGGCAAGGAACAUAAUUGAUUAUUUCUUCUAACUUUUAAUUAGAAAUGUAUAUGUUUUCAGAGGUUAACUCUACUGUAUAGAAAUGAAUCAUCUAUUUAAAAUUCAUUUUCACAUGAUUUUUUUUCCUCUAAUGGCCUGUAUUUCCUGUGCUGUAAUGAAGUCCAGUUUUCCACAUAUUUUUUUAUGUGGUGCUAUACACGUAAGGCUGUUGUACAAACUUGUGUGGGGUGUUUUGUUUUGUUUUCCUUGCUUGUCUUUGUUUUUCUGAAUAUGUCCAAAGUCUAUAAGCAGCUGUUUCAAGCAGAAAUAAGUAGAUAUAAAGCCUUGGUCCAUAUGCACAUAACUUUGCAGUCACUGCUUUGGUGCUGGCCACUAAAUGUUCAACCAACAGAGCUGACAAUUUCCAAUUCACCAGUUAAGAAGACUCCAGCUGUCAGGCCUUUCUGUGGUUUGCUCAGAAGAGUUGUGUUUUGCUGUUUCUUGUUUGCAGUGCAGAUGGUUUGCAAUCUUUUAGAAAAACUAAAGACCUAGCCCAUUGCAGUUCUUGUACAGUUUCUAGAUUUCUUCACUUGGCUGAGAUACUUUGAAUGUGACUUUAGGAUGAUGACAGUGACUGUCAUGGACCUAUGCCCAUCUCACACACAGCAGCCAUGCUUUCCUCGGUGGUUUGCCAUCCAUUUGGUUGUGCAGGUGGCAAGGUUUUGGUAGUGGGAAUCCAAAGGGCCACUCUAUGAUGAGAGGCCAGGGCUACCCAGUGCGGGGCACAGCCAACUCCAAAGGCAUUACUUCAGGGCACAGCUGGGCCACAGAGCCUAGGUGGCAGCACAUUAGUGAAAAUGUAUUUAAGGGCAAAAAAUGCUGCAGAGGUGAAUGAGAAAAACAGACGUUUGGACACCAGAGUCAGAGAAGCUGGAGAGUGAGGAGGUACUCCAGGCACUGAAGCAAAAGUUCUCCUGCAGCCUGCGGAGAGGCCAAGCAGGCUGUUCCCUUACAGCCCAUGGAGGCACACCACAUGAAAUAGAUUACUACUUGGAGCCCAUGGUAGAGCAGGUGGGCUUGGGCUGUAACCCAUACAGAUGUUGAAGUAGGCUCUUUGAAGAGACGACUAUGCAGGAAUAAGCUUUCUGGAAGAAAUUGCAGUUUGUGGGAGCCUCAUACUGGACCAGUAUAUGCUUAAGGGACUGCACCUUGUGCAAAGGACACCUGUUAGAUCAGUCCAUCAAUCUGUUUUGCCUGUAGCAGUAGAAAAGCUUUGGGGAACUAUUUUUAAUGUAUAAUCUCUUAAGAGGCAGCUGUAGUUUGAGAGAGUCCAAUAAUAUGUGGAUAGAGAUGAGUCUGUAUUGAAAUACUGUGAACUGUGCUAUUCACUUCCUCCUGAAUUCCUACAGGAUUUUUCUCAUAUUAUAAAUAGUCAAAAACAGGGCAAUACUAAAGAGAUAUUAGUAUCAAUUGCUUUGUCAGACAUUCUUUGUUUCUGAAGUGAAGAUGGUAGAGAGGAAAAUCCAGAAGUUCUCUGACAGCUAUAUAGCUACAGGUUUGUGCUUAUUCCAGUUAGAUCUUUUAGCAAUGAAUAAUAGUAAAAGCAGGAAUUUUCUGUCCAAUCCUACUUAUGUGACUUAUAGGCUAAGAUAAAUAAAUCUAAUAAACCAGGUUUCUAAUGCUAAUGUUCACUCUCUGCCUUAAACACUUGCAAUAUUAUUAUUAUUAUUAUGUGUAUUUUGUGACUGUAAUGCUGUAGUGGUCUAGGUUAGAGCUUUUCUUCCAGCCUAUAGAAGUACACUAGAAAUAGUGACAUUUCCAUAUGUUAAAUGUCUUCAAUUUUAUUUCUGCCUUCCCUAAGUGCUUAGCCCAAAUUAGAAUAACAUCCCACCACCCUUUUCUGUUUUAUAUUUCCUUUUCCUCUGAUAUUUUUAGAAACUGGGUUGCUCACAAGGAUAUGCUUUUCAAAUACCUUUCUGCAUUUUACUGUCUAAUUACAUGACAAAGACUAGUUAUUAAUGCUGUAAUAAAUCUUACUGAGUUAGCUGGAGGGAACACUGUUUUUGCUUAACUUCCAACAUUUAUCAAACUCUAAACUGCUAAAAAUUAAAUUGGGCCCUUAGAGAUAGCACUUCCCUACCAGUGUUAUGCUUAAUCUGACACCAACAUCCAGGGGUUAUACUCAAUAUUGCUUGAUUGGCAUAAGUAAAAAUCAAACUAAAAAUUACAUCACAUUUCUAAAACAUGAGAUUUUAUCUUUGCUUAUAGGCAUUGCUUUCUCUGCUCAUUAGAAAUUAAAAUUACAACUAGAUGCAUCAGUAUUCCAUACAAAUGAUGCCUAAUAUUAUCGACUGUCAGGUCUAACAGAUAUCAAAGGCAAUUCUUGGCCCACGUUGCCUUGACAACACAUUUUGGUUUUGGCCUUCUUUGUAAAUUCAAACUCUUGAGUUCAUAGAAUUUAAUUAAGCUGCCUUUUUUUUUUUUCUUUUCUUUUUUUUCCUCCCUUCAAUAGGAAUCAUUCAGGGGUGUCACAGAAUUUGAAAUAUAUUCAAAUAAAACAAAUAAGAAGUGGAUGCUGUCACAAUUAGUCUUUACUAUCUGCUACAAACUGAGUGUAUGUUACCUUCUGAUGAUCUGUUCUUUCAUGGGAUGUGUGGAACUGUCGCCAAAAAGAAGUCUAUUCCAUUUGCUUGUUUCUCCCUUGGCAUCCCCAUGCCCUUUUCUUUAUGUUCAGUGUUGGAGACUUGUGAGACCUUUCUUCAGGAGCUGCCACUGAACCAUAGGACCAUGCGUUUUUUCCAAAGUAUUGCGCUUAAUGUUCCUAAUGCUGCAGUGCUCACAAUAAGGAGUUCCAGUGGUUUGUUGCCUUCAGUGUUAAAAAUAUCCCACUUAUUUUCAGAUGGAAUUAGUCUUGUUUCAGGUUUUGGCCAUUCAUUUCUGACUCUUCCAUCAUCAAAUUUUUCUGCUUCGUAUAGUAUUUAAAGAGUGUAGUCAAGUCACUCCUUCAUGUUCCUCUAGAUCAGUAAAACAAAUUACAACUCCUUUUAUGGCAUAUCAUUUCUCGAGGCAUGAGGUUGUCUUUUGAAUCUUCAACAAUUUUUCUGAAGUAUGAGCAGACAGUCAGGACCCAGCAGUCCAGUAGCACAUAUAUAUUCAGUGGCAUAUACAGAGAAAGUAGGACCGUUCUGAGCUUACCUAGUAUUUUCUUACUUAUGUACUCCCAAGCCUAUUUUUUAAUUCACAGUGUGGCAGAGAGUUGCUCAGGCUUAUCUGAGUAAAUGCUGUGACCUGUAAGUAUUCGUCUUCAGAUACUGUUCCCUGGGACAGAGUCACCAUUCAGUAAAUCUGGGCUUUGCUGUUGAUUCCCAGGAAUAUGAAAGUGAAAUAGUCUACAUUGAAAAGUAAGAAAAAUAAGGAAGUAGAAAAGCAAAUGGUUUAGUUCAGUGUCUUCACUGCAAAAUUAAGUUAUAUCCUAGUUUCAUGUAAGAUAGAUAAAUCAGACAUUUGGCAUUUGUUUUAUUUCCUUUCCUUGAAAGUUUUAGUUUACUGUCAGCCACAGUCACUAUCUAUUUACUGGUCUGCUGCUCAGUAGAAGGAUAGCAAAAGUGACAAAUCGUUAAUCAAUUUGGAAUAUAAGCAACCUUUUAUAUUGUUUUGUUUUCAAAAUAGAUAACUAUUGAAUAACAAAGCAACAUCCUGGUUAUUGAUCAUUUCUAGCAAUGUUGUUCCUACUGGAAACUUUCACUUUUCUGAUGCAAUUCAGCCCAUUUACACGUAUACAGCUAUUUUAGCAUGGUUACUGCCUUUGUCUCUAUGCUAUUUACUUUAAUAAAUAUCUGAUAGACAAUUUUACAGUUUCUAAAGAUCUUUUAAAAUUUAAUUUCCCAAUUUUUCUGGAUAUAUGUUUCAGGUGAAACUUUUGUCACUAAGAGAUUCUGUACUGCAUAUCUUCGAUUGCAUACAGAGUAAAUGGACAGGUACCCUCUGAUGAGAUAAUUAUUUCCAUUUGGAACGGGCAUGCACAUUCAUUUUUUACUUCAAGAGUCUCAAAUAGUGUAAAACAGAAAUGAAAAAAUAACCCAACAAAGCAGUUUGUUUACCUCUAUUCAUAUAUGUUUGAGGAAUUUCACCAACUAUGUUGUUCAAACAACUCCAACAGCCUCUAAGUUUCUAUUACCAUUUUGAUCUGGAAGCAGCCAGAAUUUAUUUUCCCUUUUCUGCUGGUAGCAUUGUGGGUUUGUUUGAUUCUGUGUGGUAGCAUCAAACGUCCCCAGUUAGAAGUGAGAUAUCGUUAUCUGUGCUGUGCUUAGCUUUGUUUGCCUAUGGAUGGGCAAUUUAGUCUUUUAUUCCUGUUAUGAGGAAAAUGUAGUAAUUCAGACUAGAAAAAUAGUAGGAGGGAUGAAGUACAAAGUUAAGCAUAAUAAUGCCGCAGCCUAAGAUAGACUCAUAGUUUAAAAGUAUUUCUUUACAUAAGUCAGUCAGUAAGUUAGACCAGUUUUCUGUUUCACAAUGUGGCCAUUAUUUCUUGAUAAUUGGCUUCUAUGAAUCAAGAAUUAAUCCUGAAGAGAAAUUUAUUUGAGGAAAAGGUGGAAAGAUGGAGUACAGAGAAGAGCAAAGUGUUCAAAUGAAAACAAAACAAAGCCAAUAAAUAAAAUCAAACCAAAAUCUUUGUAUUACAAAGCUGCCUUAGAAACAUCAUAUAUAUUUUUUCUCUCAGAUUGCAUCCUCUACUCAGUAUGCCAGAUUAAUUUGGACUACAAGGGAGAGAUGUCUGCUACUGUAAACUCUGUCUCAGCAUAGGGAAGGCUGUCCUUAGCACAGCAGACCAGGGACAUUCUAGAGGAUGGGGGGCAGCUUGUUGAAUUCAUGAGCAAAGAACUACUGAUGUUCAAGACUUCUUGUUUUACUCCCAAACUUCUCUCUUGUGAUUUCAGAAGGAAAUACUUGCUUAAGCUACAAAAACCAAUUUAAGAAAAAAAAAUCACAAUUAUGCAAAAUUAAGGUUCUUUCUGACUUCUGUAUGAUUUUUGUCCCUGUCAUGUUAAGUAUUGCAGCAGAGCUGAAAGCGUCUUUAAGAUGUGUUUUUGGGGCCCAGGUAAUGUCUGAAUUCUGAAAGAUUUGGACUAACUUAUGGUUUGCAAGGAAGAGUUAUAAGAAAGCUCUAUCAGAGAAAUUGGAAAGUGGUUAAAUUAGUUUACAGUAGAUUUAGAAGAAGGAGUUUGAGCUUUGCAACUAUUACUGGUUGUUCGCUUUUCUGAUCUGGUAGAAUAGGUCUCAAAAAGAUUCCAGCUGUUAUUUGUUUUUUCAACACAGGAAAAUCUGUGCCUUGGCUGUAUCAGCUCUACAGGCUGGGACAGACUCAUAACUUAUGAAGAUAUUCCUGUUAGAGUCUGUCUGAAUAUAAUAAUGUCUCAAGAGAUUUUAGCAUAAAAGAAGUGUUUAAUAAAGUCUGUCUCUCACUUUCUCCUCUGUUCCCUCAUUCGAAAGUACUCUUGGACUUUGCAGUGAAACUAAUGAAUCUUUUCCUCUGUAAUUCCUUUUUGCAGAAGCAAUUCUGAGUUGCUAUGACCUCUGAUUUCUCUUUCACCAGUGUGGAGAGCCAUGGGUACUUUGAGAUCUAGCAUCUCUCCAUACCUCUCUGUAUUGCUGCCUGAUGACUGGCAGUGUGGUUAAAUGUGAACUAUCAGGAUCAUAGAAUUGUAGGAGUUGGAAGGGACCUCUAUGUCCUAAUGUCAGCCCUAACCUAUAUUUGAUGCAUGCGGUUGUUCCUCCCCACAUGCAAGAAUCUACACUUGCUCUUGCUGAACCUCAUCAGGUUCCUCUCUGCCCAACUCUCCAGUCUGUCCAGGUCUUGUUGAAUGGCAGUAAAGCCUUCUGGUGUGUCAGCAAUGCAUCCCAGCUUUGUAUCAUCCUCAGACUUGCUGGAGGUUGACUAUCCCUUCAUCUAGGUCACUGAUGGAGAUGUUGAACAUGACUGGACCCAGCACGGGCCCCUGGGGUACAUGGCUAGUUACAGGCCUCCAACAAGACUGUUGUGAUUCACCGAUCAUUUUAAUUGGUUCUUAGAUACUGAGAAAUCAUUUUGUGUCAAAAAUAAAUAAAUAAAUAAAAAGCCCUUCAGUCUGCAUAAAACGGUGAAGUUCUGCAUCCUGUUGCAAAAUUGGGAUUGUGCCAGAAGUACGAAUAUCCUUGUAGGAGGUAACAAGAAAUUGAUUUUACUAUCAUAGAAAAGUGCUAGGAGUAGUCAGUUAGACUUUUUAAUCAGUGAUGUAUUUCUGCACAUGGUUCUGCAUAUGCCUUUUUACCAUGUGCAGCUCGAGUAAUAAAUAUUCAUAUUUUUGCAACAUUGCUAAGCAUUAUACAAAAACUUUCAGCCAAGAAAACAUACAGAAAUGAGGCACAGAGACAGUCUCAAACUGCUAGCCUAAAAUAAAGGAACUGACUACAUUCCAGCAUAGGUUUGUAAAGAAAGGCAAUGAGUGUUAUGUGAGCAAAUAAAACACUGUGACAUUGCACUCAGCAUUCACACAUGCUGAAGGCAAGCUGUGCCUGACCACACAGUUCUUCACCUAAGGGCUCCUAGCUUUGUCAUCAACCUCAGCAACAGUUCCAGAGUCAACAGAUAGCAGUGAAAUAGCUUGUAAAAUCCUCAGGGACUCAAGUACAGGCCAAUGAAAAAUUCUACAGUAUGGUGAAAAGGUUUUAUUCAAUAGCUUUUUUUUUCUACAUAGGCAACAAUUUCCUCUUAGGGUUAGUAGAGAGAUCCACACUUUUUGACUGAUUAAUAGGAGCUCACUACUUACAUCAUGAAAAUAAACUAAAUAAGUGGAAGUAUGAAUAUUCAAGUUAUCUCCAAUCAGGCAAAUAUGAGGUUGUUCCUGAAAUGAAAUGAUAAGUCCAAGCAUGUCCAACCUGAGGCUCAUGGGCUGUACGCAGCUCAGCACAGCUCACAGUGCAGCUCACCCCCUACCUCAUGUCAUCAUGGCAGCAGCUCUGCCCUGCUGAGCAGCCUGGUCCGGCUCCUCAGCACCAAAUGAACAUCAGUGCAGUGUGAACUCUGGCUGUGUUGAAACCAGGGUGCAGGUUGUGGUGCAGUGCAGUGCUAACUCAAGUUAUGGCAAAUAAGUUUAUAGAUUUUGAUAUAUUGACUAAAUGCAGUUUUGUGAACAGUAAAAACUGUGCAGCCAUACUUUCUGUUUUCAGAAAGAAAUUUGAGAAUAGGUUUUGAGAUUGCUGAAAAAAUUACCAGUCUUGCAGUUUAUUUGCAACACCAUUUUCAGUUAACAUAAAUAUAUUAUUUGUGAGUUUUCAAAUGGAAUGCACAGAGUUGCAAUCCAAAAUCUGAUCAUGUCUAUUUAUUACAUUUUUAUAAGCCCUCUCUUACUAGAGAGAAUUACCCCUCACUUCACAACUAUGCCUUAUUUGUGUCAUUGCUUUUUUGCAGUACGUACAUUUGUGAACAACAGUUUUGAAGGAUGAAAUACAGAAAGAGUGAAAUUUCAUCAAAAAUCUCUGACAAGCACCUUGAGAGCUCAUUGAGAAUUUCAUCCUGUGCCAUUGAGCCAGACUGAUUUUUUUAGUUUCACAAAACAGGGUCAAAUAUCUUAUUAAACUAUUUGUUUCUUUCAUAUUUUUUUAAAGAUUUUUUCUUCUUACUUUAUAAUUAUAUAUUUAUAUAUAAUAAAUACAUUCUGUAAUUAUAUAUUUAAUGAGGGCUGCUCCAAAAGUAACGCCUCCUAUUUUAUGAUGUUGGCCCAAAACAUUGAAGGUGAGUGUUGAUGGUAUGACACUACAGGCUGAACCUUCCCACAGCGAUUCCAUUACAUUUUGUUGCCAUGUGACAGAUGGCAGCAGAGGGACAGUCUGACAAAAUGGCAACUGACAUUGAAGUGUGAAAGAAGCAAAGAUGUGUUAUGCUCAUCCUCCAUUUGGAAAAAAUUGCACCUAUUCGAUGUUCAUCAAUACUUACUGAAUGUUUGCAGAGACCAAACAGCGGAUGUGAGCACAGUGAGGCAGUGGGUGGUGUGUUUCAGCAUUCACAACAGUUGAGAGUGCGUUGUCUUCGCUGAUGCAGAUUUUUUUAAGCAUGGCGUGCAGACUCUUGUUCAUUGCUGGUGAAAAUGCAUAGCUAGUAGUGGUGACUACGUGGAAAAAUUGUAUUCUGUAGCUGAGAAUUUGCUCUAUCAACUAGUGUUAAUGUGGUCUUUGUAUCUGCUGUGGUUUCUGUGGAAAUAAAUAGGAGACAUGACUUUUGGAGUGACUUGUGUCUGUGGGGCCCACGGCAAUGUGGCCCAGGCAAGACAAAAUUUUCCCAAUUAUGCUGUAGAACAUCCUGUAACAGAAAAAAAAUCCGCUGAAAUUACUUGUGAACUGAAUUCCUGUCCUAUUACUAAGAAAAUAGCCUUGCUCGGCACCUUUCUUGUAUAUUAGCCAUAUGUUCUUUCUCUUGGUUGGGAAAUACAUCAGACUCCCAUGUGAGUUUUAUCUAGCAGUUUUCCGCAGCCCAUGCAAUACAUUGUACAGAGUAUGCAUCCCAGUGAUAUUAGAAUUCAACACAGCUUUAUUUAUUUAUUUUUAGUAAGAGAGGAGUGAGUGAUCAAAAUCUUGGAUUUUUUGAAGCCAAACCUUGAAUAAUGACUUGCAUAAGCAAAGACAAAAUAGGUCUUUCAUACCAUUCAUAGGUCCUCUAGGAAACAAUAGUGAAUGUUGUCACGUUACUUGAUUAUUUAUUUGAAAUGUUCUGUGUACUCUGUGCUGCCUGUGCAGUAUAAUUUAGAAAGUUGCCAUUUAAAUCCACAUAUCUUACUGUGAUAUUAAGUGUAUUUAAACCUCAUAAAAUGCCUCCUAAUUUAUUUUUCAUUUAGUCCAUUUAAUAAAAUAGCAGUAAUGUUCUUUCAAGUGAAGGUUAUGGAAGGAAAAUUGCUCCUACUUUUAAAAUACACUCCUCAAUUUGCUGUACCAUUUAUUGCACUGCAGAAGUCAUUUACCCUCUGGAACAUUCACUUAGAAUAAAAUUAUUGCUAAAUUUCUUUAAAAAACACUGGAGAUUGAUCAUAUUCUUCAUAACUUCAAAUGAAAUUUUAUACACUGUUAAUGCUUCAGUGGUAUACUCAAUGUAAAUUCUAAAUUUAAUUUAUCCUUAUUGGUAUUGUUUUUGAAUUUGCUCUCUGGAAGCUUUGUCUUCUUCAGUCUUCGGGGAUGUAUUGAAGAAUAACAAAAAUUUUUGCACUGAUGAUGUUAUCUUAAAAUGUUUUAUAUUGCACUGCUGUUGCUCUUGAGUUUCUUCUUGUUACAGAAGAAACCGGUUUUAUUGUUUCAUGUAUUGGUUUUCAACAUGUGCGUGGGCAAGGCAUGCUUGAUUUACCAGUGCUGCUACAGAGAUGUGAAUUUCCGACACACCCAAAUUCUUGAAAGACAUCUAGAAAGAAAAGUUCUCUGAAAAAUAAGAAUGCAUACCAGUCUGGUGUUUGAAUUAGCUCUAAGCCUCUUGAAUCUGGUCCAAGUCCAAGCGCCAUUUCUGCUUUAGGAACCUUCCUCUCUCCUCUUCUCUUCUUGAAAUCCUUUGUGCAAGCCUUUCACUCGGACAGUAUUGCUUUCGUAGGGUGAAAGUUCAAGUCUGAGAAGUGACUCUGUAACUGUGACAGUUUUAUAAUUUCAUUUCUGUAUAUCUGUGAUUUUCAUAUAAAGUAUUCUUAACUUACAAGUAACUAUAUGUGUUUUUUAAACUGCCAGCCCUACAUAGUACCUCUAGGAGCUGUAAAUCAGGCUGUACUGCAACUUUAAUGAUGCUGCUGUGCUGGAAUGGUAUUUUUCAUUGUAUAAUUGUCCUCCACUUACACCAGUGCUGUCCUCUUAUUUUCAGUCAAUAUGAGUACUUGUAAAAGUUCAGAACUGUCAAUUUGGUAUAUAAAAGCAGAGCUAAAAUCACUAGUUUUGCCUAUGUUGUCCUGUAUACUCUGGCCUUGGCUUAUUCAUCCUGGUGGAGCAGAAUUCCAGUUGAGUGUUACACUUGCCAUAGUAUUUUCCAGAUGAAAAAAACAAACAGCCCUCCUCCACCUCUGGAAAGAGACACAAGUUCAGUUUGGUUAAGGAUAAUCUUACAUAAGGGAAUGUAAAAAUGAAGUACCUCUUUGGAACAUUAGCCCUGAGUUUUGUGUUUUAGUCUUGGGCUUUUUCCUCUUGACUUCAAUCAGGUUGUUUUUCUAU